UGGGGAAUUUUGGACAAUGGGCGAAAGCCUGAUCCAGCCAUACCGCGUGCGGGAAGAAGGCCUUCGGGUUGUAAACCGCUUUUGUCAGGGAAGAAAUCUUCUGGGCUAAUACCUCGGGAGGAUGACGGUACCUGAAGAAUAAGCACCGGCUAACUACGUGCCAGCAGCCGCGGUAAUACGUAGGGUGCAAGCGUUAAUCGGAAUUACUGGGCGUAAAGCGUGCGCAGGCGGUUCCAUAAGACAGAUGUGAAAUCCCCGGGCUCAACCUGGGAACUGCAUUUGUGACUGUGGAGCUAGAGUACGGUAGAGGGGGAUGGAAUUCCGCGUGUAGCAGUGAAAUGCGUAGAUAUGCGGAGGAACACCAAUGGCGAAGGCAAUCCCCUGGACCUGUACUGACGCUCAUGCACGAAAGCGUGGGGAGCAAACAGG
rnacentral:rRNA from 1 species